CAGGUGUAUUGGCGCAAACAACAUUGAUAUUGGGGGAAGGGAAAUAAAAUGACAUUUUUGCCAUAUAUUUUGUCCAGGAUUGUAGUUAUUUUCUCAAUGCAAUUUAUAUCAGUAAUCCUGUUGACCAUGGGCGUGCGGACCUAAUUUUGUUUGGGGGGAACAGUAUUAGUUUGCCUGACCGCUUUGCUUACACAGUACACAUACAUAACUUUGUUCGAGAUUUUAUCAGGGCCCUAUCAGAUUUUUAAGGAUUUUUCCGGCGGGGGGAGGGGGAGAUUUUUUGAAAAGGGUCCUUUCUGUGAGAUAAUAUAUUAGUGGGGGAUAGCUAUGUGGCCGACAUACCACGCAUGAAUCUCUAGGAGGUAUGGGGGCAUACUCCCCCAGAAAAUGUUUGAAAUUUGAAGCUCGAAAAUGCAAUUUCCUGCAUUCUGAGCAUCGGCAAAUUUGCUCUUAAAUUUAUGCUAACUAUACUUGUAUUUGAAAU